UACGUAGGGAGCAAGCGUUUGUCCGGAUUUAUUGGGCGUAAAGAGCUCGUAGGCGGUUCGGUAAGUCGGGUGUGAAAACUCUGGGCUCAACCCGGAGAGGCCACUCGAUACUGCCGUGACUUGAGUCUGGUAGGGGAGCACGGAAUUCCUGGUGUAGCGGUGAAAUGCACAGAUAUCAGGAGGAACACCGGUGGCGAAGGCGGGUCUCUGGGCCGAUACUGACGCUGAGGAGCGAAAGCGUGGGGAGCGAACAGG
rnacentral:rRNA from 1 species